rnacentral:lncRNA from 1 species
UUUUUUUUGUUCAAUGGCUGUUUCCUUUUUGAAAGUCUUUUAUGAUGAUUAUUUUAAUAUCAUCAAAAAAAUAUUCAUACUAUGAGCAUACAGUUUGAUUUAUAUUACAAAUUGCCACUUUUUCAUAAUAACCAAAAGACAAAGUAGAAAGCACAGGCUUCAAACGACACAUGAAACGCCAGUGUCCUCAACUAAGAAAAGAUUCAUGAAUUUG